rnacentral:rRNA from 1 species
GAUCCUGGCUCAGGAUGAACGCUGACAGAAUGCUUAACACAUGCAAGUCGUUUGGCGAAGCUGUGCUUGCACAGCCUAGCCAAGGCGGACGGGUGAGUAACGCGUAAGGAACUUGCCCUGCAGUCAGGGAUAACAGACGGAAACGACUGAUAAGACCUGGUAAAGUCAGGCGGACUCAUGUCCAGCCUGAUGAAAAGAGAUGCUGCAGGAGAGCCUUGCG